GAUCUGGCUCAGGAUGAACGCUAGCUACAGGCUUGACACAUGCAAGUCGAGGGGCAGCAUGACCUAGCAAUAGGUUGAUGGCGACCGGCGCACGGGUGAGUAACACGUAUCCAACCUACCGGUUAUUCCGGGAUAGCCUUUCGAAAGAAAGAUUAAUACCGGAUAGUAUAACGAGAAGGCAUCUUCUUGUUAUUAAAGAAUUUCGAUAACCGAUGGGGAUGCGUUCCAUUAGUUUGUUGGCGGGGUAACGGCCC
rnacentral:rRNA from 1 species